AGAUAAUUAACUGCAGUAAACUCAUUUAUACACCCUAGAGAGCGUUAUUUACUGCUAAUAAAUGGAAAAAAGUAUGUUACAUGUUCCCGGUCCUUCCGGACAAAGAAGACCGCCAUGUAGACAGAGGAUAGGGCCUUCUCCUGGUUCUGGUACAUUUGAAUGUAUUUUUAAUGUUUGAUUGAUGUUGUUUAACCCUUGUGUUGCUGUUUCAUACACACUGGGGUCAUUUGGCCUCAACUUUCUCUCAGUUUCAGCAAAUGGAGUGAUUUUUUUAGUGACAAACUAUUUUGACAUAUUUUGGGAAAAGGCUUUUGAAUUAAAAAAAGUUUCAAAAAACUUAAUUCGGGGCAAAUUGGCUUUGUUUAUGUUGUUGGCUGUUACGGGUUAAAUGGCUUUAUUUUUAUACUGUCUGUUCAGGCAUAACUAGAAGCUGUCUCAAAUGAACAUGCUGUUUUUAUCUUUCAGUGGAAGCAAAAUAUGACCUGAAAGAAAAUAUUGGAGCUGGCUGCUACGGCAAUGUCUAUCGUGGUAUCAGAAAAGUGGACGGCAAACAGUUUAUCAUCAAGUCGACUACUUCAGAAGUUGACAGCAAUGUGCCUGGAUAUCCGUUACCCAUACCAAUCGAAGUGGCCAUGAUGACAAUUGUGAGAGAUCCCCCCAGCCCGCUGCUCAUCAAGCUCCAGGAAUGGUUUUUAGUUAAAGUGGAGAAAUUGCCAAGAGGAAAAAGCUUGUGGGUUAAUGAUAUGCCGGUGCGAAAGUGUGUAAGACAAUAAUGUUGGUGAUGGAGUAUCUCGGCCCGUGCAGAACACUGGAGGAUUUCCUGCAGAAGCACCAACACCUGGAGGAGAGAGUCGCGCGUACGCUUAUCCUGCAGAUUGUCAAAGCAGCGCAGGAGUGCUUGAGGCGGAAAAUUUGUCAUCAUGAUAUUCAUGAUUGUAAUAUCCUCGUCAUCGACCGGCCUCUGCAAAUCAAGCUAAUUGAUUUUGGCUGUGGGAUGCACAUCUGUCAUGAUCCAAAGAAAUACCCACCAGACACAAGGAUAUCUCCAAAGAAGGCAGUUAAAAACACAGUGAAGCAGCUGUUUGGCAUCAUGCGGGAAAUAGAAAAACAAUGUUCCAGCAUACCUGAAGAAUUCAUGGCAUUUAUGAAUACCUGCAUUACCCUUGGGGAUGAUGAUCAGAGACUGCAAACAGUGCAGCAGAUUCUGGAUCAGCCAUGGCUAAAAAACCAAUAAAAAUAAAGACUGUUCUAGA